UUAUGGCUCAGGACGAACGCUGGCGGCGUGCCUAAUACAUGCAAGUCGAACGGUCUUUCUAUGGAAGCUUGCUUCCACUGAGAAGAUAGUGGCGAACGGGUGAGUAACACGUGGGUAACCUGCCCAUAAGAGGGGGGAUAACAUCCGGAAACGGGUGCUAAUACCGCAUAGUUUUCUUGAUCGCAUGAUUGAGAAAGGAAAGACGGCCUUUGUGCUGUCGCUUAUGGAUGGACCCGCGGCGUAUUAGUUAGUUGGUGAGGUAACGGCUCACCAAGACGAUGAUACGUAGCCGACCUGAGAGGGUGAUCGGCCACAUUGGGACUGAGACACGGCCCAAACUCCUACGGGAGGCAGCAGUAGGGAAUCUUCCGCAAUGGACGAAAGUCUGACGGAGCAACGCCGCGUGAGUGAAAGAAGGUUUUCGGAUCGUAAAACUCUGUUGUCAGAGAAGAACAAGUUGGAGAGUAACUGCUCCAGCCUUGACGGUAUCUGACCAGAAAGCCACGGCUAACUACGUGCCAGCCGCCGC
rnacentral:rRNA from 1 species